rnacentral:rRNA from 1 species
AUUGAACGCUGGCGGCAUGCUUUACACAUGCAAGUCGAACGGUAACAGGCCGCAAGGUGCUGACGAGUGGCGAACGUGUGAGUAAUGCAUCGGAACGUGCCCAGUCGUGGGGGAUAACUACUCGAAAGAGUAGCUAAUACCGCAUACGAUCUAUGGAUGAAAGCGGGGGACCGUAAGGCCUCGCGCGAUUGGAGCGGCCGAUGUCAGAUUAGGUAGUUGGUGGGGUAAAGACUCACCAAGCCAACGAUCUGUAGCUGGUCUGAGAGGACGACCAGCCACACUGGGACUGAGACACGGCCCAGACUCCUACGGGAGGCAGCAGUGGGGAAUUUUGGACAAUGGGCGCAAGCCUGAUCCAGCAAUGCCGCGUGCAGGAAGAAGGCCUUCGGGUUGUAAACUGCUUUUGUACGGAACGAAACGGCUCUGGUUAAUACCCGGGGCUAAUGACGGUACCGUAAGAAUAAGCACCGGCUAACUACGUG